CCUUCUCCACCUCUUUCUUUUUUCCCUAUCUUUUAUACUAAAACACGUUAUCACCACGAGCUCUAACCCUGCGGCAAUGGAUUUUAUUAUUUUUGGAUUGCUAUCAAAUCCGUGAAGGAUUGUUUUGGAUCUAUAUUUUUUUUCUUUCAAUCAAAUACAACAAAUACAAUAUGUUGGAAUGAAAGGAAUCGCUGGAUACAUAUAGGGAAUCUCAAUUGCAACAUGAUUUUGAUAUUUCUAUCUUCUCUUAAUCAUACGAAUUAAGAAGGUGAACCUAAUCCCUUAUUUUUUUUUUCCUUGUCUUCUUAUGCUUGAUAAGAAGAGUUGUUUGUUGAUCUUAUUUUGAUUUAUUUAUUUUAUUCCUUACCUCUUAAAAAAAAAAGAAAUGAAAGAAAUGAUCCGAAUCUCUGAUUACAUUUUUUUUUUUUUUUUUGCGAUUUGUUCUGCGCGUCUGUUGAUAUCCCCCCUUGCUGUGAGGAGAAGGAAAACCUGUUCGCUGUGAGAACAUGACGACCACCUGGAACAGGAUCCAGCUCGGUGAUCCAACUCGGUGUAACUGUGCCCUGUUCUGACCUCAACCCGGUUUUGGGUCGUGCGCGACCAAGUCUGUUCCGGUUUCGUGUAUAUACAAUUAGAACCAAAGUUGGAGAAAAGAGGGAUUUAUGGACCGUGGCCACCCUCUUUUACAAACUUCCCUCGCGUAUUUCUCCAUCACAACUUUGCACGAAAGGAUGGAAGCGUAACUUGACUGCACAAUAGAAAACCAGCUUCCGGUUUCUCUUUCGUUUCCGUCUGAAACAAUUUUCUUCAAAGCACCAGCAGCAUCUCCGCCAUGAUUUCUGAAACACCUCCGCCAGUAAAGAAGAACAACGGCUACGAAAGAUUUCGAUCCAGAUGAAAUACUAAUCGAUCAUAGUCGUCGAAAUAAGGAGUCAAAGAAUCCGAGAAACCUAGGUAGUAUACCUCCAGAGUUUAAGAUUGCUCAUUCUUUCCUCUAUGGUUUCAAGGUUAGAAAGCAAAUUUUUUACAUCCGAAGAUGAAUAUGCAGUGCAAGGGAUGCCUCUUAUUUUGAAUUUAUGAUCCGAGUCGUUGAUGUGGAAGAACCUUGGGUGAAAGAAAAAUUUUUACAUCCGAAGAUGAAUAUGCAGAGCAAGGGAUGCCUCUUAUUUUGAAUUUAUGAUUCGAGUCGUUGAUGUGGAUGAACCUUGGGUGGGCAAGGAAGUUUUUUUUUAUCUUUGCAAAUAUAGUAUUAAGUGCAUAAAAAAAUAUACAUUUUAUAUAAACAUGUUAUUCAUUGAAAUAUUAUUAAAAGAAGAGGUUGAUUUGUUUGGAAUGGAAAUGGCAGGCGCUCGCGCGUGCGUGUUAUACUAGUAUCAUAUAAACAGUCAACUUAAAUUAUGAUUGUUAAUCAUUAAGAGUUUUAGUUUUAGUGUUA